rnacentral:rRNA from 1 species
GAUGAACGCUGGCGGCGUGCCUAAUACAUGCAAGUCGAGCGAACGGACGAGAAGCUUGCUUUUCUGAUGUUAGCGGCGGACGGGUGAGUAACACGUGGAUAACCUACCUAUAAGACUGGGAUAACUUCGGGAAACCGGAGCUAAUACCGGAUAAUAUUUUGAACCGCAUGGUUCAAAAGUGAAAGACGGUCUUGCUGUCACUUAUAGAUGGAUCCGCGCUGCAUUAGCUAGUUGGUAAGGUAACGGCUUACCAAGGCAACGAUGCAUAGCCGACCUGAGAGGGUGAUCGGCCACACUGGAACUGAGACACGGUCCAGACUCCUACGGGAGGCAGCAGUAGGGAAUCUUCCGCAAUGGGCGAAAGCCUGACGGAGCAACGCCGCGUGAGCGAUGAAGGUCUUCGGAUCGUAAAACUCUGUUAUUAGGGAAGAACAUAUGUGUAAGUAACUGUGCACAUCUUGACGGUACCUAAUCAGAAAGCCACGGCUAACUACGUGCCAGCAGCCGCGGUAAUACGUAGGUGGCAAGCGUUAUCCGGAAUUAUUGGGCGUAAAGCGCGCGUAGGCGGUUUUUUAAGUCUGAUGUGAAAGCCCACGGCUCAACCGUGGAGGGUCAUUGGAAACUGGAAAACUUGAGUGCAGAAGAGGAAGGUGGAAUUCCAUGUGUAGCGGUGAAAUGCGCAGAGAUGUGGAGGAACACCAGUGGCGAAGGCGACUUUCUGGUCUGUAACUGACGCUGACGUGCGAAAGCGUGGGGAUCAAACAGGAUUAGAUACCCUGGUAGUCCACGCCGUAAACGAUGAGUGCUAAGUGUUAGGGGGUUUCCGCCCCUUAGUGCUGCAGCUAACGCGUUAAGCACUCCGCCUGGGGAGUACGACCGCAAGGUUGAAACUCAAAGGAAUUGACGGGGGCCCGCACAAGCGGUGGAGCAUGUGGUUUAAUUCGAAGCAACGCGAAGAACCUUACCAAAUCUUGACAUCCUUUGACAACUCUAGAGAUAGAGCCUUCCCCUUCGGGGGACAAAGUGACAGGUGGUGCAUGGUUGUCGUCAGCUCGUGUCGUGAGAUGUUGGGUUAAGUCCCGCAACGAGCGCAACCCUUAAGCUUAGUUGCCAUCAUUAAGUUGGGCACUCUAAGUUGACUGCCGGUGACAAACCGGAGGAAGGUGGGGAUGACGUCAAAUCAUCAUGCCCCUUAUGAUUUGGGCUACACACGUGCUACAAUGGACAAUACAAAGGGCAGCGAAACCGCGAGGUCAAGCAAAUCCCAUAAAGUUGUUCUCAGUUCGGAUUGUAGUCUGCAACUCGACUACAUGAAGCUGGAAUCGCUAGUAAUCGUAGAUCAGCAUGCUACGGUGAAUACGUUCCCGGGUCU